rnacentral:lncRNA from 1 species
AAAGCUCACUUGUCCCUGUCAUUUGUAAAAGAACUUAAAGCUCACUUAUCCUCAUUGUUAAUUGAAGAGCUUAAAGCAUAAAGCUCACUUGUCCCUGCUGCAUAUUAAACAGCAUAAAGCUCGCGUGUCCCUAUGGCUUAUAGAAAAGCUUGAAGGUUAGUUGUCCCAGUCUCUUAUAGAAGAGUUUAAAGCUCACGCUCCCUGUUGCUUAUAAAAGAGAUUAAAAUAAUCUUGUCCAUGUCCCUAAUAGAACAACUUAAAGCUCACAUAAAAGAGCAUGUAGCUCACGUGUCCAUAUGGAUAUAAAAUAGCAUAAAGCUCAACGUUUCCUUCCCAUUUAUGAAAAAGCUUAGAGGUCACUUGUCCCUCUCGCUUAUAAAAGGGCUUAAAGCUCACGGGUCCCUGUUGUUUAAUAUAAGAGCUUAAAGCUCACUUUUCUCUGCCACUCGUAAAAGACCAUAAAGCUUACUUGCUCCUGCCGCUUAUAAAAGAGCGUAAAGCUCACUUGUCCCUGUCAUUUAUGAAAGAGUUUUAACGCUCACUUGUUCCCAUCAUUAAUUAAAGAGCUUGAAGCAUAACGCUCACUUGUCCCUGCUGCUUAUUAAAGAGCAUAAAGCCCACUUGUCCCUCUGGCUUAUGGAAAAGCUUAAAGGUUGCUUGUCCCUGUCUCCUAUAGAAGAGUUUAAAGCUCAUGUGUCCAUGUUGCUUAUAAAAGAGAUUAAUAUAAACUUGUCCAUGUCCCUACUAAAAUAACUUAAAGCUCACAUAAAAGAGCAUGACGCUCACGUGUCCCGAUGUUGAUUAUAAAAGAGCUUAAAGCUCACUUGUCCUCGUCGCUUGCAAAAGAGCUAAAGCUCACUUGUCCCCCCUCCCCCCGCGCUUAUAAAAGAACUUAAAAGCUCACUUGUCUCUGCCGCUUAUAGAAGAGCUCAAAGUUCUGGGGUCUGUGUAUAUAAAAGAGCUUAAAGCUCAUGUGUCCCGGUUGCUUAUAAAAGAGCUUAAAGCUCACUUGUCCCUCUCGUUUAUAAAAAAGAGCAUAAAGGUCACAUGUCUUUAUCGCUUCUUAAAGAGCUUAAAGCUCACUUGUCCCUAUGGCUUAUAAAAGAGCUUGAAGCUCAUUCGUCCUGCUGCUUAUAAAAGAGUAGGAAGCUCACGUGUCAAUGUGGCUCAUAAAAGAGCUUAAAGUUUGCUUGUCUCUGUAGCUUAUAAAAGGGCUUAAAGCUGAAAGCUCAUGUGUCCUAUUGGCUUAUAAAAGAGUUUAAAGCUCACGUGUCCCUUCUGUUCAUAAAAGAGUUUAGUGCUCAUGUGUCCCUCUUACUUACAAAAGAGCGCAAUGCUCAUGUGUCACUCCUAAGCAAGAGCUUAAUGCUCACAUGUCCCUGGUGCUUAUAAAAGAGCUUAAAGCUCAUGUGUCCCGGUUGCUUAUAAAAGUGCUUAACACUCACGUGUCCUUGCUUAAGAAAGAGUUUAAUGCUCAUAACCCAAUGAUUACGAAAUAGCUUGAUGAUCAUGUGUGAAAGCGCUUAAUGCUCAAAUGUCCCUGUUGCUUAUCUAAAAACUUUCUCGAGUGUCCCUGUUGCAUAUGAAAAGAGCUUAAUGCGCACGUAUCCCUCAGAGCUGAUGCUCACAUGUCCCUCAUGUGUCCCUGUGGCAUAUGAAAGAGCUUACAGCUCACUUGUCCCUAUCAAUUAUAAAAGUGCUUAAAGCUCACUUGUGCCUAUUCCUUAUUAAAGCGCCUAAAGCUUACGUGUUCCCUGUUGCUGAUAAAAGAGUUUCAAGUUUACUUGCCCCCAUCGCUUAUAAAAGAGCUUAAAGCUCACAUAAAAUAGCAUGAAGCUCACUUGUCCUUGUGAAUUAUAAAAGAGUUUAGAGCUCACUUGUCGGUGUCGCUUAUAAAAGAGCUUAAAGCUCACUUGUCCCUCCCACUUAUACAAGAGCAUAAAGCUCACGUGUCCUGGUUGCUUGUAAAAUAGCUUAUAGCUGACUUGUCCCUCUCUCUCGCUCUCUUAUAAAAGAGCUUAAACCUCACGUCUCCCUGUCACUUAUGAAAGAGCAUUCAGCUCACUUGUCUAUGUCACUUAUAAAGAGCUCAAAGCUCAUGUGUCUAUGUCCCUUAUAAAAGAGCAUGAAGCGCACGUGUCUCUGUGGCCUAUAAAAGAGCUUAAAGCUCACUUCUCCCUGUUGCUUAUCAAAGAGCUUAAAAGUUACUUGUCCCUCCCCAUUUGUAAAUGUCCCUGUCGUUUAUAAAAUUGCAUAUAGCUCAUGUGUCCUUGAUGCUUGUAAAAGAGCUUAAAGCUCACGUGUCUAUAUCGCUUAUAAAAGAGCUUAAAGCUCUAUAUCGCUUAUAAAAGGCUUAAAGCUCAUGUGUCUCUAUUGCUAAGGCUCAUGUGUCCCUAUUGUUUAUAAAAGAGCUUAACGGCACAGUUACUCUUGCUUAUAAAAGAGCUUAAUGCUCAUUUAUCCUAAUGAUUAUGAAGUAGCACAAUGCUUAUGAAAGAACUUGCUCAAAUGUCCAUGUUGCUUAUGAAAAGCGUCUAAUGCUCAGGUAUCACUCAUAGCUUGAUUCUCACAUGUCCCUACUGCUUAUGAAAGAGCUUAAAGCUCACUUAUCGUGUGGCUUAUGAAAGAGCCUAAAGCUCACUUGCCCUUGUUACUUAUAAAAUAGCAUAAAGCUCACUUGCCCAUGCUGCUUAUUGAAAAACUUUAAAGCUCACUUGUCCCUGUCAUUUGUAAAAGAACUUAAAGCUCACUUAUCCUCAUUGUUAAUUGAAGAGCUUAAAGAUAAAGCUCACUUAGGUCCCUCUGCAUAUUAAACACUAAAGCUCGCGUGUCCCUAUGGCUUAUAGAAAGCUUGAAGGUUAGUUGUCCCAGUCUCUUAUAAAAGAGUUUAAAGCUGACGCUCCCUGUUGCUUAUAAAAGAGAUUAAAAUAAUCUUGUCCAUGUCCCUAAUAGAACAUCUUAAAGUCACAUAAAAGAGAUGAGCUCACGUGUCCAUAUGGAUAUAAAAUAGCAUAAAGCUCAACGUUUCCUUCCCAUUUAUGAAAAAGCUUAGAGGUCACUUGUCUCUCUCGCUUAUAAAAGGGCUUAAAGCUCACGGGUCCCUGUUGUUUAAUAUAAGAGCUUAAAGUUCACCUUUCUCUGCCACUCGUAAAAGACCGUAAAGCUUACUUGCUCCUGCCGCUUAUAAAAGAGCGUAAAACUCACUUGUCCCUGUCAUUUAUGAAAGAGUUUUAACGAUCACUUGUUCCCAUCAUUAAUUAAAGAGCUUGAAGCAUAACGCUCACUUGUCCCUGCUGCUUAUUAAACAACAUAAAGCCCACUUGUCCCUCUGGCUUAUGGAAAAGCUUAAAGGUUGCUCGUCCCUGUCUCCUAUAGAAGAGUUUAAAGCUCAUGUGUCCAUGUUGCUACUAAAAUAACUUAAAGCUCACAUAACAGAGCAUGACGCUCACAUAUCCCGAUGUUGAUUAUAAAAGAGCUUAAAGCUCACUUGUCCUCGUCGCUUGCAAAAGAGCUUAAAGCUCACUUGUCCUCGUCGCUUGCAAAAGAGCUAAAGCUCACUUGUCCCCCAACGCCCCCGCUUAUAAAGAGCUUAAAAGCUCACUGUCUCUGCGCUUAUAAAGAGUUAAAGUUCUGGGGUCUGUAUAAAAGAGCUUAAAGCUCACUUGUCCCCUCGUUUAUAAAAAAGAGCAUAAAGGUCACAUGUCUUUAUCGCUUCUUAAAGAGCUUAAAGCUACUUGUCCCUAUGGCUUAUAAAAGAGCUUGAAGCUCAUUCGUCCUGCUGUUAAAAGAGUAUGAAGUUCACGUGUCCCUGUGGCUCAUAAAAGAGCUUAAACUUUGCUUCUCCCUGUAGCUUAUAAGGCGUAAAGAACUAUGUCAGUGUUCCUAUGGUAUAAAGUUUAAAGCUCACGUGUCCCUUCUGUUCACAGAAGAGUUUAGUGCUCAUGUGUCCCUCUUACUUACAAAAGAGCGCAAUGCUCAUGUGUCACUCCUAAGCAAGAGCUUAAUGCUCACAUGUCCCUGGUGCUUAUAAAAGAGCUUAAAGCUCAUGUGUCCCGGUUGCUUAUAAAAGUGCUUAAGACUCACGUGUCCUUGCUUAAAAUGCUCAUAACCCAAUGAUUACGAAAUAGCUUGAUGAUCAUGUGUGAAAGCGCUUGAUGCUCAAAUGUCCCUGUUGCUUAUCUAAAAACUUUCUCGAGUGUCCCUGUUGCAUAUGAAAAGAGCUUAAUGCGCACGUAUCCCUCAGAGCUGAUGCUCACAUGUCCCUCAUGUGUCCCUGUGGCAUAUGAAAGAGCUUACAGCUCACUUGUCCCUAUCAAUUAUAACAGAGCUUAAAGCUCACUUGUCCCUAUUCCUUAUUAAAGCGCCUAAAGCUUACGUGUUCCGUGUUGCUUAUAAAAGAGUUUCAAGUUUACUUGCCCCCAUCACUUAUAAAAGAGCUUAAAGCUCACAUAAAAUAGCAUGAAGCUCACUUGUCCUUGUGAAUUAUAAAAGAGUUUAGAGCUCACUUGUCGGUGUCGCUUAUAAAAGAGCUUAAAGCUCACUUGUCCCUACUUAUACAAGAGCAUAAAGCUACGUGUCCUGGUUGCUUGUAAAUAGCUUAUAGAUUCCUCUCUCUCUCUUAUAAAAGAGCUUAAACCUCACGUCUCCCUGUCACUUAUAAAAGAGCAUUCAGCUCACUUGUCUAUGUCUUAAAAGAGCUCAAAGCUCAUGUGUCCAUGUCCCUUAUAAAAGAGCAUGAAGCGCACGUGUCUCUGUGGCCUAUAAAAGAGCUUAAAGCUCACUUCUCCCUGUUGCUUAUCAAAGAGCUUAAAAGUUACUUGUCCCUCCCCAUUUGUAAAUGUCCCUGCGUUUAUAAAAUUGCAUAUAGCUCAUGUGUCCUUGAUGCUUGUAAAAGAGCUUAAAGCUCACGUGUCUAUAUCGCUUAUAAAAGAGCUUAAGGCUCAUGUGUCUCUAGCUUAAGGCUCAUUUGUAAAAAAGAGCUUAACGGCACAUGUUCUCUUGCUUAUAAAAGAGCUUAAUGCUCAUAUCCUAAUGAUUAUGAAGUAGCACAAUGCUUAUGAAAGAAUUGCUCAAAUGUCCAUGUUGCUUAUGAAAAGCGUCUAAUGCUCAGGUAUCACUCAUAGCUUGAUUCUACAUGUCCCUACUGCUUAUAAAGAGCUUAAGCUCACUUAUCGUGUGGCUUAUGAAAGAGCCUAAAGCUCACUUGCCCUUGUUACUUAUAAAAAGCAUAAAGCUCACUUGCCCAUGCUGCUUAUUGAAAAACUUAAAGCUCACUUGUCCCUGUCAUUUGUAAAAGAACUUAACUCACUUAUCCUCAUGUUAAUUGAAGAGUUAAAGCAUAAAGCUCACUUGUCCCUCUGCAUAUUAAACAGCAUAAAGCUCGCGUGUCCCUAUGGCUUAUAGAAAAGCUUGAAGGUUAGUUGUCCCAGUCUCUUAUAGAAGAGUUUAAAGCUCACGUCCUGUUGCUUAUAAAAGAGAUUAAAAUAAUCUUGUCCAUGCCCUAAUAGAACAACUUAAAGCUCACAUAAAAGAGCAUGUAGCUCACGUGUCCAUAUGGAUAUAAAAUAGCAUAAAGCAACUUUCUUCCCAUUUAUGAAAAAGCUUAAGGUCACUUGUCCCUCUCGCUUAUAAAAGGGCUUAAAGCUCACGGUCCUGUUGUUAAUAUAAGAGCUUAAAGCUCACUUUUCUCUGCCACUCGUAAGACCAUAAAGCUUACUUGUCUGCCGCUUAUAAAAGAGCGUAAACUCACUUGUCCUGUCAUUUAUGAAAGAGUUUUAACGCUCACUUGUUCCCAUCAUUAAUUAAGAGCUUGAAGCAUAACGUCACUGUCCACUGCUUAUUAAAGAGCAUAAAGCCCACUUGUCCCUAUGGCUUAUGGAAAAGCUUAAAGGUUGCUUGUCCCUGUCUCCUAUAGAGUUUAAAGCUCAUGUGUCCAGUUGCUUAUAAAAGAGAUUAAAUAAACUGUCCAUGUCCCUACUAAAAUAACUUGAAGCUCACGUGUCCCGAUGUUGAUUAUAAAAGAGCUUAAAGCUCACUUGUCCUCGUCGCUUGCAAAAGAGCUAAAGCUCACUUGCCCCCCCUCCCCCUCCGCCUCUUAUAAAAGAACUUAAAAGCUCACUUGUCUCUGCCGCUUAUAGAAGAGCUCAAAGUUCUGGGGUCUGUGUAUAUAAAAGAGCUUAAAGCUCAUGUGUCCCGGUUGCUUAUAAAAGAGCUUAAAGCUCACUUGUCCCUCUCGUUUUUAAAAAAGAGCAUAAAGGUCACAUGUCUUUAUCGCUUCUUAAAGAGCUUAAAGCUCACUUGUCCCUAUGGCUUAUAAGAGAGCUUGAAGCUCAUUCGUCCUGCUGCUUGUAAAAGAGUAUGAAGCUCACGUGUCCCUGUGGCUCAUAAAAGAGCUUAAAGUUUGCUUGUCCCUGUAGCUUAUAAAAGGGCUUAAAGCUGAAUGCUCAUGUGUCCUAUUGGCUUAUAAAAGAGUUUAAAGCUCACUUGUCCCUUCUGUUCACAAAAGAGUUUAGUGCUCAUGUGUCCCUCUUACUUACAAAAGAGCGCAAUGCUCAUGUGUCACUCCUAAGCAAGAGCUUAAUGCUCACAUGUCCCUGGUGCUUAUAAAAGAGCUUAAAGCUCAUGUGUCCCGGUUGCUUAUAAAAGAGCUUAAAGCUCACUUGUCCCUCUCGUUUAUAAAAAAGAGCAUAAAGGUCACAUGUCUUUAUCGCUUCUUAAAGAGCUUAAAGCUCACUUGUCCCUAUGGCUUGUAAAAGAGCUUGAAGCUCAUUCGUCCUGCUGCUUAUAAAAGAUUAUGAAGCUCACGUGUCCCUGUGGCUCAUAAAAGAGCUCGUCUCUGUAGCUUAUAAAAGGGCUUAAAGCUGAAAGCUCAUGUGUCCUAUUGGCUUAUAAAAGAGUUUAAAGCUCACGUGUCCCUUCUGUUCAUAAAAGAGUUUAGUGCUCAUGUGUCCCUCUUUACUUACAAAAGAGCGCAAUACUCAUGUGUCACUCCUAAGCAAGAGCUUAAUGCUCACAUGUCCCUGGUGCUUAUAAAAGAGCUUAAAGCUCACGUGUCCCGGUUGCUUAUAAAAGUGCUUAACACUCACGUGUCCUUGCUUAAGAAAGAGUUUAAUGCUCAUAACCCAAUGAUUACGAAAUAGCUUGAUGAUCACGUGAGAAAGCGCUUAAUGCUCAAAUGUACGUGUUGCUUAUCUAAAAACUUUCUCGAGGGUCCCUGUUGCAUAUGAAAAGAGCUUAAUGCGUA